rnacentral:rRNA from 1 species
CGGACGGGUGAGUAAUGUAUGGGGAUCUGCCUGAUGGCGGGGGAUAACUACUGGAAACGGUAGCUAAUACCGCAUAAUGUCUACGGACCAAAGCGGGGGACCUCCGGGCCUCGCGCCAUCAGAUGAACCCAUAUGGGAUUAGCUAGUAGGUGAGGUAACGGCUUACCUAGGCGACGAUCCCUAGCUGGUCUGAGAGGAUGAUCAGCCACACUGGGACUGAGACACGGCCCGG